rnacentral:rRNA from 1 species
CAGCAGCCGCGGGAAUACGAAGGGUGCAAGCGUUACUCGGAAUUACUGGGCGUAAAGCGUGCGUAGGUGGUGGUUUAAGUCCGUUGUGAAAGCCCUGGGCUCAACCUGGGAAUUGCAGUGGAUACUGGGUCACUAGAGUGUGGUAGAGGAUAGUGGAAUUUCCGGUGUAGCAGUGAAAUGCGUAGAUAUCGUGAGGAAGACCAGUGGCGAAGGCGAUUCUCUGGGCAGUUCCUGACACUGAGGCACGAAGGCCAGGGGAGCAAACGGGAUUAGAUACCCCAGUAGUCCCUGUCUCUUAUAC